rnacentral:rRNA from 1 species
GACGAACGCUGGCGGCGUGCCUAAUACAUGCAAGUCGAACGCAGUGGGGACGGGUGAGGAACACGUGGGUAACCUCGCAUCAGAGGGGAUAACAAUUGGAAACAGGUGCUAAACAGCUACUGAUGGAUGGACCCGGUGUGCAUUAGCUAGUUGGUGGGGUAACGGCUCACCAAGGCCACGAUUCAUAGCCGUCCUGAGAGGGUGAUCGGCCACACUGGAACUGAGACACGGCCCAGACUCCUACGGGAGGCAGCAGUAGGGAAUCUUCGGCAAUGGACGAAAGUCUGACCGAGCAACGCCGCGUGAGUGAAGAAGGUUUUCGGAUCGUAAAACUCUGUUGUUAGAGAAGCGGUAUCUAACCAGAAAGCCACGGCUAACUACGUGCCAGCAGCCGCGGUAAUUC